UUAAUGUCCAGGAGCGUGGCCUUCCGCAUGGGAGGUUGACAAGAGAUUUAUCGGUAUGGGAUGAGCUUGCGUCCGAUUAGCUAGUUGGCGGGGCAACGGCCCACCAAGGCGACGAUCGGUAGCCGGCCUGAGAGGGUGAUCGGCCACAUUGGGACUGAGAUACGGCCCAGACUCCUACGGGAGGCAGCAGUAGGGAAUAUUGCACAAUGGGGGAAACCCUGAUGCAGCAACGCCACGUGUGGGAAGAAGCAUUUCGGUGUGUAAACCACUGUCGUGAGGGAAUAAGGCGUCUUCUCGGAGACGUUGAAUGUACCUCGAAAGGAAGCACCGGCAAACUUCGUGCCAGCAGCCGCGGUAAUACGAGGGGUGCAAGCGUUGUUCGGAAUCACUGGGCGUAAAGGGAGCGUAGGCGGAGAUGCAAGCGGACUGUACAAUACCGGGGCCCAACCCCGGGCCUGCAGUUCGGACUGCACCUCUUGGAUAGUUCAGGGGCAGGCGGAAUUCCUGGUGUAGCGGUGGAAUGCGUAGAGAUCAGGAAGAACACCGAUGGCGAAGGCAGCUUGCUGGGGACUAAUCGACGCUCAUGCUCGAAAGUGCGGGUAGCAAACAGGAUUAGAUACCCUGGUAGUCCGCACCGUAAACGAUGCAUACUGGGUGUCCGCGGUUCGCCGCGGGUA
rnacentral:rRNA from 1 species